GUAGAUCAAUAAUUUUAUUAUCUUUAAUAAUAAAAAUCAUAAAACCUUACGUGAGAGUUGCAAUCUGAUCGUGUAGUAGACAUUAACUCAACCUCUCCUUCCACCAUUUGAAUUUGCCGAAGAUAAAAGUUACUUUCUUGCUACGUACGGUAGGUUUAAUGAAUUAAUCAAAAAGGUCUCAAAAUAACAGAUUAAUAAUCAAUCAAACAAGCAAAC
rnacentral:lncRNA from 1 species